rnacentral:rRNA from 1 species
GGUUAAGCGACUAAGCGUACACGGUGGAUGCCCUGGCAGUCAGAGGCGAUGAAGGACGUGCUAAUCUGCGAUAAGCGUCGGUAAGGUGAUAUGAACCGUUAUAACCGGCGAUUUCCGAAUGGGGAAACCCAGUGUGAUUCGUCACACUAUCAUUAA